rnacentral:lncRNA from 1 species
UUGCACCACUGUAUUAACAUAAAAUUUCUGAAUACCACCUGGAGUUGAAGUAGAGCCAGUAGCAGUCACCACCCUUGCUACUGGGCCCUGACCUAUCUUCCCUUAUAGAAUAGGGAAACUUCAAUCAUUCUUGACUGGACUGUGUUUUGGGAUAGGAUUCUUCUAUUGCUUCUUAGGCAUCCUAACAGGUUCCUGUACCACCGAUGUUUUGUGAGGUACAUAGUGCCAAAUAUGUAUCCCUUGUGGUCUCCGUUGCAUAUUCAUCCAUAGUUUCUGACCCUUAUACUCGCCCCUCGGUUUAGUAUUCUUUUUGUUCAAGUUCUAUGGUACCUACCCUUGCUGAUGAGUAUUAACCCUCUUUGGUUCCUCAAGGCAGACACGACCAAAUUUUACACAUUGUUUGCAAAGCAGAGGCUUCGAAUGAUACCCAAUAUUCUGAGAAAACACUCUGCAUAUUGGAUCUGUGAUGACUAACACCUCUAGUAUAGGUUGUGUGACAUCCAUGUCAACUAAGAUCCAAGCAUAAGAUAUGUGAACCUGCUUCUAGGUGCAUUCAUCCGCAAAAAUUGUUUUCCCUAAUCCACUUACAAUUUUUUUCAAGGUCUUAGCUCCCUAGCAGCUCAAAGGCAAGUCGGGCAAUCUAGACCAAAUAGGCAUUGUACGAGAAAAUUCCUGUUGGAAAUCAAAUGUAGGGGUCCACAUUUUAAGAAUUAAUGGUCUACCGCGCAAAGUGUAUGGGCCUGAAUAUAGGAUCUCAUUUAUCAUGAAUAUUUAAGAAUUUAGCAAUAUUGAAUCUCUCAUCAUGUAGAUAUAAUUCUAAUGUGCUUACUUUAUUCCUAUUCUUAGAUAUGUAGUUACUCGUAACUAUAUAUCUAGGUAACUCACCCAUGGUAUAGAUCAAUACUGCAUUAUUCCAUAUCUUUAUUUGCUCUUAAAUUUCCUCUUCCUCCAACGCAAUUGUAGUUUUCUGUUAAUCACCUGAUGAGGGAAAAAUUAAGAGCCAUACCAUUAGCAGCUAAUCGAUUUCGAGGGAACAAUCCAGCCCAAUUUCAUGUCUAGUCGUUCUCUUUUGCAUUUUCCUGUGGAAUCGGGUCUGGUUCCUGUUUAUUUGGUAUAGAUUCCUUUGGGUUUGGAGCUUGUUACACUGGGCUGACUACCAAUUUUGGAAUCUGCACAAUUCUAUAGGUGUUGGGUCAUUAUCAUUCAACUCUUCUUCAGUAGGUUUUAUUGACAAAAAUGGAGUUUCAUAUGUCACAGCCAUAUCGAAUCAAGCUCCACUGUUUGCCUUCCCUUAUGGUAUAGUCUGCUUCCCUUUCGUUUGAUAUCCAGAUGUCGCCACUGAGUAAGAUGAGUUAUAGGACUCUUGUUCAUUGGAACCCUCAAACUUGUUGUUGCACUUAUCGUUUGGUUACACGAAGUAUUGUUAAUCUCCUUU